rnacentral:rRNA from 1 species
AUGGAGGGCGAGGCGAGCAAGACGAAGACGGUGUGCGUGACCGGCGCCGGCGGCUUCGUCGGCUCGUGGCUCGUGAAGCGGCUCCUGUCCACGGGCGAGUACACGGUGCAUGGCACCGUUCGCGACCUCGGUGAUCGCAGGACCGGCCACCUGAAGGCGCUGGACGGCGCCGGCGAGCGGCUGCGGCUGUUCAAGGCCGACGUGCUGGACUACGCGAGCGUGGCGUACGCCGUGACCGGCUGCGGCGGCGUCUUCCACGUCGCCAGCCCCGUCCCCGCCGACAAGCCCCAGAACCCCGAGGUGGAGGUCCUGGCUCCGGCGGUGAGGGGCACGCAGAACGUGCUCAAGGCCUGCCACCAAGCCAAGGUCGGCCGCGUCGUCGUGGUGUCGUCGGCAGCCGCGGUGGCCAUGAACCCCGGCUUCCCCAGGGACGCCGUCCUGGACGAGGACGCGUGGUCAGACGAGGACCACUGCAGAACCACGGGGAUGUGGUACGCCCUCUCCAAGACACUGGCCGAGCGCGAGGCUCUGGCCUACGCCGAGAAGACCGGGCUGGACGUGGUCACCGUGUGCCCGCCCUUGGUCCUCGGCCCGCUGCUGCAGCGCGUGGCCAACACCAGCAGCCUGGUCCUCGUCAACCUGCUCAAAGGCGACUGCGACACCGUGGAGGACAAGGCGAGGAACGCGGUGGACGUCCGGGACCUCGCCGACGCGCUCGUCCUGGCGUACGAGACCCCGGAGGCGUCCGGGCGGUACAUCUGCGGCGCGUACCGAAAGAAGCUGUCUGAAAUGGUCGACAUCGUCAAGAGCUUCUAUCCAGACCUUACACGCCCCAUGAAGUUUGUUGAAGGGGAAGAGGAAAGGAUGAUGAGCUCCAAGAGGCUGCAGGCGCUGGGGUGGAAGUUGAGGGCGGUGGAGGAGUGCCUCAGGGACAGCGUCGAGUCGUACAAGGCCGCCGGGCUGCUGCCGGAGUGA